rnacentral:rRNA from 1 species
UACGUAGGGGGCAAGCGUUGUCCGGAAUCAUUGGGCGUAAAGAGCGUGUAGGCGGUCCGGUAAGUCCGCUGUGAAAGUCGGGGGGCUCAACCCUCGAAUGCCGGUGGAUACUGUCGGGCUAGAGUACGGAAGAGGCGAGUGGAAUUCCUGGUGUAGCGGGUGAAAUGCGUAGAUAUCAUGAGGAAGACCAGUGGCGAAGGCGGGUCUCCUGGACAGUUCCGUGACACUGAGGCACGAAGGCCAGGGGAGCAAACGGG